GACGAACGCUGGCGGCGUGCUUAACACAUGCAAGUCGAACGGAAAGGCCAGUGCUUGCCCUGGUACUCGAGUGGCGAACGGGUGAGUAACACGUGGGUGAUCUGCCUUGCACUCUGGGAUAAGCUUGGGAAACUGGGUCUAAUACCGGAUAUGAACUGCCUUUAGUGUGGUGGUUGGAAAGUUUUUUCGGUGCAAGAUGAGCUCGCGGCCUAUCAGCUUGUUGGUGGGGUAAUGGCCUACCAAGGCGUCGACGGGUAGCCGGCCUGAGAGGGUGUACGGCCACAUUGGGACUGAGAUACGGCCCAGACUCCUACGGGAGGCAGCAGUGGGGAAUAUUGCACAAUGGGCGGAAGCCUGAUGCAGCGACGCCGCGUGGGGGAUGACGGCCUUCGGGUUGUAAACUACUUUCGACAGGGACGAAGCGUAAGUGACGGUACCUGUAUAAGAAGCACCGGCUAACUACGUG
rnacentral:rRNA from 1 species